rnacentral:rRNA from 1 species
UACGAGGGGUGCAAGCGUUGCUCGGAAUUAUUGGGCGUAAAGGGUAGGUAGGUGGUCUUAUUUGUCUGGGGUGAAAGCCUUGAGCUUAACUCAAGAAGUGCCCCGGAAACGGUGAGACUAGAGUCUUGGAGAGGGUCGUGGAAUUCCCGGUGUAGCGGUGAAAUGCGUAGAGAUCGGGAGGAACACCAGAGGCGAAGGCGGCGACCUGGACAAGUACUGACACUCAACUACGAAAGCGUGGGGAGCAAACAGG